CUGGUUACUGGUGUUUGGAACACAGCCCGUGUUGUGAUGCUAAACGUAGGCUACAGAAGAAACGCGGCCCCUCUAGCUGGGACCAAAGUAAACCAUUUUUCACGCUAAUCGUCUGAUAGCGACAGUUUGUGCCAGUGCUUUAAUAAAAAGUAACGCUAACGGAAGCUAACUAGCGUUCGUCGGCUGUGUUAGAAGCAUCGCACAGCAUCGAAGGUUAGCAGUCAGCUAACCGGCCAAGAGUAACGGGAGUAACGGCGAAGCUGUGAAGAAGCGACUCCUGCAGUGUUGACACCAACCUCCAGAAAUGGAUGUGAGCAUUGCUGUGUCCUUGAUUCGAGGCCAGAUGGGCACCGUUGUUGAGCGAGCGGUGAACGCAGCCGUGGAGACGGUGCUGGCUGAGAUGCUCAAGGUAGUCGGAGUCAAAUUUGAGGAGCUGAAGACUCAGGUGAUGCUGAUGAAGAGAGAGAUUGUGGCCCUAAAGAGAGAGAAGGCCCUGAAAGAGAAGGAAAACGACAACAUUCGAGCUAAACUGCGCUACACAGAGCUGAAGCUGAAGUACUACAGGCAGGGCGUGGAGGAGGAGCUGCAGCAGAGAGCCUCUGCUUCCACCCUGGUCCGCAUCCAUCCGCCCCACUUCACCCGAACACAGAGAGGCGGAUCAGGCAUGUCACCCACUGACGCCUCACCAUCAUGCUCAGCUCAGACCAGGACUCCUGAAGGAGCGCUGACAAGAAGCAGCCACGAAUGCACCUCUUCACAGAGCACAAGCAGACGAGCCGUCAGAGUGCUCUGUCCUUCAGAGGCCAGCUCCAACUCCUCGGACCUGCUACCUGCCUCUCUCAUGGUGAACACACCGAUAGAGAGUCUGGACAGCAGUGCAGUCUUGUUGUGUUCCGCUGAGCGAGACCCGGCACAGAGGAAGGGUUUGGAUCAGGACGAGUGUGAGUGGACCGCCACUCUGCAGCCACACACAGAGGGUGCGGACGUCGGCGUGGACGGUGCUCCUGCAGGGCAGCUGGCUGCGGUGGGCUUGCACUCUAAUGGAUCUACACAGCCUGACAGCCGCACACUGCAAUCUUCUGCUCCACAGGUGACACGCACAUACUUUAGAUGA
rnacentral:lncRNA from 1 species